UAAUAUUUUGGAUAAGUUUGAGACCCUGUUGUGUGUUUAGGUGUUUGUACCUGUGUAUUUGUAUGCAUAUGUGAUCUAAGCACAGUGUCUUUAUGUUUGCAGGGGUCCAGUGUGAAGUGCAGCUGGUGGAGUCUGGGGGAGAUGUGAGAAAUCCUGGGAGGUCUCUGAGACUCCCCUGUGAGGGCUUUGGAUUCAUCUUUAGUGACUACUAUCUGAGCUGUAUCUUCCAAGCUCCAGGGAAGGGGAUGUACUGUGUUGGAGAAAUUAACACUGAUGGUGAUAGUAAGAACUACACAGACACUGUGAAGGGCCAAUUCACCAUCUCCAGAAACAAUUCCAAGAAUGCACUCUAUUUUAAAAUGGACACUCUGAGACCCAAGGACAUAUCCAUGUAUUACUGUACCAGAGGCAUAGUGAGGAUAAGUCAGUGGGAUCCCACACAAAAACCUCCCUGA